rnacentral:rRNA from 1 species
ACGGGAGGCAGCAGUGGGGAAUAUUGGACAAUGGGCGAAAGCCUGAUCCAGCGACGCCGCGUGAGUGAAGAAGUAUUUCGGUAUGUAAAGCUCUAUCAGCAGGGAAGAUAAUGACGGUACCUGACUAAGAAGCCCCGGCUAACUACGUGCCAGCAGCCGCGGUAAUACGGAGGAUGCGAGCGUUAUCCGGAUUUAUUGGGUUUAAAGGGUGCGUAGGCGGGCUGGUAAGUCAGCGGUGAAACGCAGGUGCUCAACACCUGACCUGCCGUUGAUACUGCCGGUCUUGAAUGCGGAUGCUGUGGGAGGAAUGUGUGGUGUAGCGGUGAAAUGCAUAGAUAUCACACAGAACACCGAUUGCGAAGGCAUCUCACAAAUCCGCAAUUGACGCUGAGGCACGAAAGUGCGGGGAUCGAACAGGAUUAGAUACCCUGGUA